rnacentral:lncRNA from 1 species
GAGCAUUACUCCCUCAUCACCACCCAUCUCCUCUCUGAGCAGCCACCCAUCUCCUCUCUGGUUGGUCGAAAUAGCAAGACAGAAAGGAGUUCGGCAAAUCCGACGACCACAGCGUUAGAUUACUCCUUAAGGUCGGAUCCGUGCUCGAGCUUAGAUCUGUGAUCGAGGUCGGAUCCGUGUUUGAAGCGUUACCUUUCUUCCUGGGUUUGGGGGUCGGAUCCGUGCUCGAGCUUAGAUCUGUGAUUGAGGUCGGAUCCGUGUUUGAAGCGUUACCUUUCUUCCUGGGUUUUGGCUUCUGGAAUCAGUGUUCUGCAGAGAAAUAUUUCUGGGUCUGGUUCUUUUCCAUUCAAUGCGCUUUUGCUUGUUUAGGGAGAUCCUGUACAUGCUGAGAAGAUAAGCCGCGCCUGUUUCACUGGGCUAAUAUUCGAGCAGGGAUUGCUAGAGGAACUCAAACUUAAAGAAGAUGAGUUGCAAGCCAGAUGGCAAAAACAGCUGCAGGAGAUGGAGAAAACCAGUGAAUCUCCUUCUCAACAAGAAAGCACUAGGAAAUCCACUCCCUAAAACUUCAUAGAAGUGACCCCUUGCCUGGAACCCGCAAUGUGUUGUGGAAGUAACCUCGAAUCCGUAAUCUAGUUGCACGACCUGGAUGCCAGCGGUGAUUUGAAAG